CAAGAUGCAAUGGCAAGAGAGACAGAAAUUAAACAAGGUCAAUCAAAAGACAUUUGAUUGAUAGAAUACAAGACAGUAUAAAACUUUGUGAAUAAAAGUUGAGGUGCGGGAUAGUGGCGGACGGGUGAGUAACGCGUGAAUAAUCUGCCCCAUACAGGGGGAUAGCCUCGGGAAACCGGGAUUAAAACCGCAUAACACUUUAUCACCGCAUGGUGAUGAAGUCAAAUCGAUUAAGAGGUAUGGGAUGAGUUCGCGUCUGAUUAGCUAGUUGGCGGGGUAAAGGCCCACCAAGGCGACGAUCAGUAGCCGGCCUGAGAGGGUGACCGGCCACACUGGAACUGAGACACGGUCCAGACUCCUACGGGAGGCAGCAGUGGGGAAUAUUGCACAAUGGGGGAAACCCUGAUGCAGCGACGCCGCGUGAGUGAAGAAGGUCUUCGGAUCGUAAAACUCUGUCCUUGGUGACGAAGGAAGUGACGGUAACCAAGGAGGAAGCCCCGGCUAACUACGUG
rnacentral:rRNA from 1 species